rnacentral:rRNA from 1 species
UACAGAGACUGCAAGCGUUAUUCGGAUUCACUGGGCGUAAAGGGUGCGCAGGCGGCCGUGUGUGUCAGGUGUGAAAGCCCGGGGCUUAACCCCGGAAUUGCGCCUGAAACUACAUGGCUAGAGCAUUGGAGAGGGUAGCGGAAUUCACGGUGUAGCAGUGAAAUGCGUAGAUAUCUGGAGGAACACCGGUGGCGAAGGCGGCAUCCUGGACCAACACUGACACUGAGGAGCGAAAGCCAGGGGAGCAAACGGG